CUCUGAGGGGAAAGCUCCUCCUAAGGGGACUCUUGCCAGGCGCCGGCUGUUGCUUUGAUGAGCGAGGGCACCACACGCCCAUUUUCCUGAAAAUAUGACCCCAGGGACGCCUGAGAACCACCGUCGGGGUGCAGGGAGAGCACUCUGAAAAGGCAGGCCGCGCCACUCGGCAUGCAGGAUCAUAGUUCCCUGACCAGGGACGGAACCUGUGCCCCUUGCAUUGGGAGCGUGGAGUCUUAACCACUGGAUCGCCAGGGAAGUCCCCAGGUCUACCCUUUAGAUGGCCACACUCUGGCUCUAUUCUGGCCCCUUCCAUCCCACACAGUGAGAAGUCCAUGGGGUCAAGAGGAUGGGCCCACUGGGAGCCCAUGCCCCACUCCUAGACUACAAAUCAGUCGGACUUUGUUCACAUCUCCUAUGCUGAACUCUAUGGAAACUGCUCCGGCCAAGUUCACCAAUGAUCUCCAACUCAGUAAAUCCAAUAGAACUUCUCAGGUUUCAGUUGAACGUCACCUUUCCUGGGAGCCCAGUGGGGCUGAAGAGCUUGAUGCUUACGAGACCGACACUGAAGCCAGGUUCAACCCCCAGCUCUGCCACUUCCUAGCCAUGUAACCUUGGGCAACCUAUUCAACUCUCUGGGCCUUCACUUUCUUAUCUGUUGUGAGGAUUAAAGAAAUCAGUACGUGUAAGGUGCCUUGUAGGCUCCAGGGUGUCACCUCC